UGGCGGGGCUGCGUCCUCCGCUCAGCGGCCGAGAGCGCGGGGGGCCCGGGGCCGGGGCCGGGCUUGGGCUGCCGCUGCCGCCUCCCGAGCUUAGCCCAAGUCUCCAAGCUCACAGAUCUGCUCGGGGCCCCGGCGGUGGCUGCUGCACCGGCGCGGCAAGGGCUGCCCAGCGGCUGCAGGGGACAGCAAGCCCUCAGGCCGCGUCAGGGAUCGCGCGGGUACCAUAGCGUGAGGGGAGAAAUGCCUAAUUCCCUGGCUAAAAGCAGGCAGAAAGGCUGUGCAGAAGAGAUAGUUAGGUACGCUUUGUUAAAACGCCAGUUAUUCCCUGGCUGGAACGCAUUGUGAGUUCGCCGAGUUAACUGAGGACAUAACGUUCUUAUGUCUGAAGGGAAACUGUCAGGCGCAAUCUGAACGUCUGCAAUAAGGCAUGAUUUAUGCUGUCUGGGCCCUGCACUUCUGCUUCAGAAAUAGUGACGGUUCUUGCACAGCUGUGUAUUUUUGGCUGCUGUUUACACCACUGAAAUAAAGUGAGGAUUGUGCCGGGAAAGUAGUGCACACAUUGGGGUAUCACGGUUGUAGGGAACCAGGCAGGAGUAGCAACAUCCUUGCUGUCUUCAAAUGACACAGAUGAUGGCAGGUCUUAUUGAAGGAUCCCAAGAGGAAUAUUUGCAUGAACUUCUGGACUUAUUUCAUGACAGGCUAGAAAUGUAUUCCUGCAGAAAGUACCUAAGUUGCUAAAAACCAUACGUCUGGUCCAUCUGGAGCAAACACUGUAAAAGAAACCUACCUUCAGGAAUUAAAGAACUGUUGGAGUUUAUAAGGUAUUUGUUACAAUUUAUAAUUAGUUAAAUGGAGAGAAAACACACCGUGGAAUGAAAACAUUUAUUUGGGGUACCUUGGUGUUCAUGAACACUUAAGCCAGCCUACUGUUCCAAAUGAUACUUCAUCUAGUUUUGCUCUCUUUCUGUUGGACUAAAAUGUUUCACUUUUACGAAUAAACACCUCAGGUUGUACUGUU